GCAGCCGCCUGGCCCGGGCGCGGUCUUAGCGUGUCCGCCAGAGGCCUCCUUGUCUCGCAGCGUGGGUCUGCCACUCUCUGCCUCCCCUGGCGCUCUUUAUUUUUAGUAAUGAUUCUGUAGGGGUGCGUUACGCUCCUUCAUGUUUUUGUCUCCUUGGUGUCCCACGACAGCCCAGAGAGGCUGGGAUUGUAUCGCUAUUUGAUGGGGAAGAAAUUGAGCCCGGGGGGGAGUGGAAGGGGUCCUGCCCCCGCGUCUUAGGCCGAACUGUCUUUGGGCCUGCUUUGGUGUGGGUUUGCGAAAUCCAAGGGAGCUUCUCGGUAGGCGCGUGUAGUGUCUUCCUACACUGUAGCGGUCUCGCCUUCAGCUCCUGGCACGGAGCGGGAAUUUACACCCCGGGGCGCUGAAUGGAGGAGGCUGGUUCUCGCGGAUUCCUGCCGGGGCGGCCUUCUAACCCUCAGCGCUCCGAGCAUGCCCCUGCCCUGAUUCUGAUCAUCAAUACAGGGGGAAAAUCAAGUCAUGAGGAAGAUAUACUUUACCUCAUCUUCUCCUUUGCAUCUUCGAAGCUUUCAGACACAAAGUAGACAUCCUGAAAAGUUGUGAUGAGACACUCCUGCUUGCAGGUCAUAUCAAUUCUAUGAAGUGGGUAUGGUUAUGUGCAAAGAUCUACAGCUCUUACUUUGAGUUCGCUGAUAGAAGAGAGUAAUCCAGCACCAAAGACUCUCAGCUGCCCGUCUUGUU